UCAGCUGUCAUGAUGCCUUCCUGUUUUGGAAGAGUUUGGGUAGGCAUUAUGAAGGUUGGUA
rnacentral:pre_miRNA from 1 species